GAUGAACGCUGACAGAAUGCUUAACACAUGCAAGUCAUUGGCGAAGCUGCGCUUGCGCAGUCUAGCCAAGGCGGACGGGUGAGUAACGCGUAAGGAACUUGCCCUGCAGACAGGGAUAACAGACGGAAACGACUGAUAACACCUGGUAUUGUCAGGCUGGCGCAUGCCGGCCUGAUGAAAGGAGACGCUGCAGGAGAGCCUUGCGUCCUAUUAGCUAGUUGGUGGGGUAACGGCCCACCAAGGCGAUGAUAGGUAGCCGGCCUGAGAGGGUGAACGGCCACAAGGGGACUGAGAUACGGCCCUUACUCCUACGGGAGGCAGCAGUGGGGAAUAUUGGACAAUGGGGGCAACCCUGAUCCAGCAAUUCUGUGUGCACGAAGAAGGUUUUCGGAUUGUAAAGUGCUUUCAGCAGGGAAGAAGAA
rnacentral:rRNA from 1 species